CGUCAUAAACAACAAACGCGUGGAGCCAUAUUGGAAAAGAAAUAUAUUUUAAAACGAAUCCAAUCGCAUCGUUAAUUGUCAAGCGUAGAUUUAAAAUAGAUGAUCAUGGGGAGAAGCAAAGGCAUCUAUUCACUUAACAGAUCUUCCACAAUUAAUCACCGAGUAUGAAAAUGUCCCAGAAGACAAAUUAAUUCACAUUAAAUUUGAUUGACGGUUUACAUAAUGAUUUGUAGGUGGCCCUCACCGUCUACAUAUUCUAAGCUAUAGAAUAAAGAAUAGGUUGGGAUUAAUUUUGAUGCCGAGAGGGUCUUAUAUCAUGAAACGACGGGGAACACGUCAUCUGGUGUGUGGAUGGCCCGGAAGUGCAUCAUAUAUGACACACCUGAGGACAUCAGACAUCUGACCUGCACGAGAGGUCCAUUAUCAGCUGGUAGAGGGUCUUUCACACGACAGAGGGAUCCUUUCUGCUCCCUUUAAGAACAAUUUGGACAAUGGUCGUUUGUUAAAAUGUUAUUAAGGACCAGAUACAUUAAUGACGCAGGCAGCAGCCGAAGCGGAGAGAGCCAACAUCUGGUAUGAAAUGACGUUUAGCAAAGUUAGUGGAAAAAUGGGCAAAGAUCACGUUAUCCGAUCACGUGACCGUUCUCAGGUACUUUUCUAAGUUUCACAAAGCCAGUAGAUUACUUUUUUUUUAUCUUCUUCUUCUCUAAAACUCUCGAUACACAAUACACUCGAUCAAUGUCCGAAAUUCUUUAAAAUAUACACAGUUUUUUCCUCAUCCGAUCCCGGAUUAAUGGAGAGAGAUGCCUCGAUGUUCUCGGGUUUUCUGCCCACAAAACACAAUUUUGGUGGUGCCCGAUUGGGUUUUUUUUUUCUCCUCCCUCCCCAUUCACGUCAGACGUUGCAGAGGUAGGAAAAUCUGGCUCUAGUCGACUGAGUCACGGUCUUAAAUGAUUCAUAAGGCUGUAGAAUGGUUACGAUUGCUUUCUUUCGCGAUUAGCAUACUUCACGGCAUCCGAUUAGAUAUGAAUUUACACCUCCACGCUAGAUAAAACUGCAAUUAAACUAAAUUCGCGAGUAGUAAUUAGUUAUGCGCGUGUCCGACUUAAAAAAAUGCGCUUCGUCUUUUUUUUUUUUUGUUUUUUUAACCUUUAUACAAUUAUUUCGCCCGGGGAGACGGUUAAUGAAGUGCAGAGUAUUUCUCCUUUUUUGCUUAGUUUAUUGCCAGGUUAUCCGGGCUUGUUUAUGAGUUGACGCAACUCAACAUCAUCAAUGCAAACGGGAGAUGUGCAACAAUAAACUUUGUCCUUAUCUCGGUAAGUAUCGGACACCUGCUAGCAUGGGCACGUCAACACACCUUGGUGGAGAGAACAUCUUCAUUUUAAAGAGAAACCAAGGCCGACCCUAGACUCCGCGAUUACAAUCGUGAUGGAUAAAUCAUAGUGGGCCUUAAGUCCGAUUUAAUCCUCCGAAUUUCUUUUUUUUUUUUUUUUUUUCCUUUUCCUAACCGCGUCAGAAAUUCUUACAAUUUAAUUUA